GGAGGGGGUUGUCCUCGAACACCUCCAGGGAUUCAGGGUCAGGUUGGAUGGGGCCCUGGGCAACCUCAUCUAGUAAACAUGGAAGUUUGGUGGCCCUGCCAGGCAGGGGGUUGGAGCUUCAUGAUCCUCGAGGUCCCUUCCAACCCGGGUCAUUCUGUGAUUCUGUGAUUGGAGCUUUAGAAUGGAUGUUAGGCUCAGAAGGAGUGGUGAGGUGUUGGAAUUGGCUGCCCAGGUAGGCAAUGGAGUCCCUGGAGGUGUUCAAGAAUCAUGGAGAUGUGGCACUGAGGGAUACAGUUUAGUGGGCAGGGUGGGGAUGAGCUGAUGGUUAGACCAGGUGAUAGUAGUGGUCUUUAAUAACCUAAUGAUUCUGUAUCCCCAUCUGUCUGUAAAGUAGUAUGACCGUCAGGCAUGUUGGUACAUCCUUGUCAUGUUUGCAGCGCAGCACGUCUGCUUAGAAAUGUGGAAGGCAGAAGAUCAAUAUGUUUACAGUCAGAGUACAAAUGUAUAGAGAAGAAAGAAAGAGGAAAGUAUCCUGUGCAUGAAACUAUAGUACUGGCUGUGGCUUAAAUACUGAUAUGAGGGAACACUAGGCUCAGGCAUCAAACUGCUGUCCAGCAUUAGUGAAGGCAACCAUGGAAUUCAUUUCCAAAUACAAUGCUGAGAAGAAGGUGAUUGGAAACCCUUGGUUUCAAUCUACCAUGACAAAUCCCAUCUAACUACCAUGAUUGCCUACUAUCUAGACGUGACUGGUGGUGUGGCCAACAAAUACCAUAUAAGUGGUAUCAGCAGAGCAGCUUUACUGUUUGGUAAAGCUUCAUUUGGCUGAUGAUGUGGAAGCACCCUUUUGUUGCUGUUGUGUUGACAAAGCUGAUAUACCGGUUUUUAAAGGUUCCAUGCAUUUAGGGUUAAACAUAUUUGUUUGUUUGUUUGUCUUUAAAACAACCUAAGCAGCUGCGGUGACCAAAGGUGUGUGUCUAAUGAAGAGUUUGUUGGAGCAAAGCAAUGAAAAUCUGAUGAGGUUUACAGUCAAUAAGGAGAAACGCUGCACAGGGGAGUAAUUAAGUUUCCACUUUGCUGUUCGUUUUAGCCUCUCAGCUUUACCAUUCUCUUGGUGUUGUGGUGCCUGAAUGAAUGUCCUAUCUACCCAACAGUCUUAAUGGUAAUUACUUUACCUUUAGCUCAGCUGCCAUCUGAAUAGAAGGGAGGAAGCUUUAAAGACGUUUGAGUGAUUGCGGCUGCCCACUGAAGAUUGUUUCUUAAACUUAGGUAUUGAUCGACCAUUUUCACUUGAAAGAGCAGAGUAAUAUAUUAAUCACUCAAGUGUUCACCUUUGCUCUGCACAAUAGCAGCAAAGCUCAACAAAAAAAAAACCCACAUCACCCAAACAAAAAAAUCCCAGUGAAAACAGGUUGGGAAACUACAUUGAGGAGUCUCUCAAUCGACAUGAGAUUCUACGUAUGCCAUCUGCAGGAGAUAUUCAGUUUACAUAGUCUGCAAAUUAAGCAGCUGAGAUCGUUUGAUAGACUCACCAUUCCUAGAGGUGUUCAAGAGCCGUGUGGAUGUGGCACUGAGGGACAUGGCUCUGAGCCAUCACUGAUGUUCCUUUUGGACUAUGAUGUAGAAACCAAAACAGAGUGAUACAGGGAGACCUGCAAGUUUAACUGAGGCAUAUUGCAACAAUAAAUGCCUACUGUAUGAAUAAUGCUUACGAGCUAUUCUUAUUACUACACCUUGCACAUAUCUCAGUUGAUACAGCAUUUUCAGAAGUGUGGACACAGGACAGGAGGAACAAACUUGCAGCUUGCAAGCUUGAGACUAACAGAUGAUGAUCUUGAGCAUGACUGGAAUGAGACGUCCUCCUUCAGUAUAUGUCACCAUGUGGUUUUCUAUUGGUUACAAAGAGCAAGCUGAGAGCACAAGAAAACAAUGAGAACCUUUGCAUGCAAGGACUGCAUGGUACAAACUCUGCUGAGCAAAAUAAUGAUUUGCUGAACAACAGCCAAGAGACUAACCCAGCAACAGCUGACAUUGAUAUGUCUUGUCUCCACAUUUCAAGGUAAUCAGAAGCAAACACAAGGAAACUAACUAAAAGCAAUACUAUAUUCAAGCAGCAAAGAAGAAGAGUGUUAGCAGAAUUUCCCAUUAACUUGUACAGUGGAUUGGAAGCAACACUCAGGCUGGGGCAAGGGAAGUACUGCUGCCCAUGCAAAGCAGUUAGCCUGGGCUCAGGGGAGUGUUUGGGCAACUCUCCCCCAUGCUGUGGUCAGGGGCUGCUCUGCCAGUGGAAUUGAAAACUAGGCCCAAGUUACUGGUGUGCAGAGCUGUGGCCAGCCCUAUCCAAAAUGCUUGGGUGUCUUUGCUCAGCACUACUGGUAGAUGUGAAGCUACCAGAAGCUCUUCUCCCACCAACACAGCAUAAAGGAGAAGAUGAGCCAGAGGAAGUUCCAUUUGUUGCCUCAGGUGUGAAUGGGUUUUUCCAGGUCCCUGUGUAUCAUUGCCAGGUGUAAGAAAAUCUGGAGGCAAGGUCCAUGCCAUUGAAAAGCAGAGGCACUAACUGAGCCUGAGUUUGAGGGGAAUAGACACUGAGGAUGGCAGCAGUGUCUUUGUGUCCCAACACAGAUGGGCAGUGCUUGUGGGUGCCCUCAUGUCCAUUGCAGGUCCAUCCACAUCCCUCCUCAGGACAUAGGAUAAAGGCCUGAACCUGGGGAGCUGUGAGCAGAGCUCGCUGUGCACAGGCAUUGUGCUCCUUUACCUAUGUUGCAGUGUUGUUGGCGUUAAGAUUUCUACUCAACUGAUGUUUCCUUCCCGGUGGCAGAGCUCAGAGGUAGAAAAGCUGUAAAGCCUCCUCCUUCAGUUAAUGAAUUGUGUGGUGCUCCCAAAGCUUUGAGAAGAACAUCCAUCCAGAAUUUGAGCCCUACAGGCCUUCAGGACAUGCGGACUGUGUUCCACCACGUUUUGAUUAUCCCACACCCCUACAGUCUGACUGUGCUGCAGAGUUUGAUGAUUGCUGUCUACUUGGGUAUGACAACUUGACAGAUGAAGGCCAUGCUAUUACACCAUGUGACUCCAAGAUGCAAAGUGUCCUGGAAAUGCAGUGGAGGACUUGAGUCCAUUCAGUAUCAUUCAGAAGGGGACACGCAUAGAACAAGUCUGGACAUUCAAGUUAUUAGAUUUACCAGAAACUGUGUUGGCAGCAUUGGGCAGAGAUUUGUAUUCUUUCCUUCUCUCUCAUCUGGCUUUGAGCUCACCUUGUAAUUCUGCUGUUGUUCAGGGAAACCUGGUUUUUCUUGUUUGCUUUGAAGAAUUGGCUGAAAGUCUGAAGAGAAAUCUCUCAGGAGAUUCGUUUGUUUUCCAGGGGUGAUGCCUUUCUCUACCCUUUGUGUUUCUGAAGGUCAUUCAGGAGGACCCAUUCAGAAUCCUCUAGAAAACAGAUGUGUUAAUUAACUAGGAGUUCAGUCACUGCAUCUUAUGCUAAGAGCUGUCUUCUCUGUGCCUAUCUCAUGCGGUCCAUGCACCUGUGUGGAUGGAUGGGGAAAAGGGUGAACACCUUAAAAGCUUGAUGGACGUGAGCUUGCUUAAGCCUUCAGAUAAUGCAUACCAUUAAGAAAGCUGCAGUUUAGGCAUGAUUUUGAUACUGGUGUUUAGUUAGAAGAAUAUACCACCAAGGUAGAGUCAGUUUGCACUAUACAUGGGAAGCAUACUCUACCACUGAUGAUGCAGCAGUUUUUGCUGAGGAACUGCAAUUGGGAUAACAGCCUGUCUUUAAAACCCUUACCCUUCGUACUGUGUUCAGAAAGGAGAGGUUAGAUAUUUUUUUGAAGGGAAUCACCUGCUAGCCCACAUUCAGACUUAUCACAGCAAACACCUGGUGUGAAGGCAAAACUCUUCAGUCCACAGUGUGAGCUUGUGAGUAUUCAUGGUGUAAAAUUAAAUUCCUAAUGGGUGCUUGUAAGGAGAGAUGAAAAAGCUGCUUACUUGCCAGAAUCCACUGAAUAGUGCCUUAGACUCACUAAGAAGCAUCAUAAUUUGGUGACAACGAAUGACAUUUCUGGAGAUGCCCAGUCUGACAUCUUUUUUGGGAAAAAAUAUGAUGAUCUGAUGAUGACAAAGUGUCUGAAACCAGAGCGAGAGAGCUAAAAUGCUACUAAAGUUUUGAGCCAGAGGAUGGAUGAAUGAAGAGCUCAUUCCAAAUGGGCAGUGCACUUGGAGUUUCCUCCUGCCUGCAGGGAAAAAGCUCAGUCACACUGGCAAACACCUAACUGCUUUUUCAGCAAGGCUUCAGUUUGCAGUGUGGACUACAGGGGCUGUGCCACCUGCUAUAUGAGCUGGAUGGCUUUGUGUUGCAAAGAAACAGAUGCAGGUAUCUGCUGUUAAGCUACAGCAGAUGUGGGCAUGCGGUGCUGGUGAGGGAAGGAGUGGCAACUGGGGCUGUAGACCUGAGAGCUGAAAUUUCCCAGCUUCCUUGUGUCACUACCCUUCCUUCUUAAACACUGGUUUUAUGUGCCUUUAAAUGGUCUCCUACGCAGAUGUAGUUCUCCACAAGAUAACUGGAAUAAUAUCCUUGAAGAUACCCUAUUUUGUCUAGUUGAGAUACUUGCUACAGCUUCCAGAUGUAUUGCUUAUCUCUGAUAAAUGUCAUUUCUAACCACCAGGCUUCUACAAUAACUGCAACAUCCUCAAAAUGUGGGCUGAAAUCCCAGACAGUAACCAGUCACUGGAAACUAAGUGGAGACCAAAUGUCCCUAGAAAACCAGUGUCCUCACAUGGACAGCGUGAGGAGGACACCUCCCCAGACAACCACCGACUCCUGCAAAAGCACAGAGGAUUCAGAUUUGUUUGCUUAACCUUUUAACCACAGUAAUCUCCUGAAUAUGUAAUGGAUAGGUGUGCCCUAUGUAGUCAAUAGUAUAUUGAGAACUGCUGGGUUAUAAAUAGUGGAGAUAACUCAGAUCUGCUUGAUUUGUGGAGAUAACUCACCUUAAGUCCUGUGCAGAAAUAAAGCAAUAUUUCCCCUCUAAUCACUUGUCUGUGUACCUUGCCCUGUGCUGCCUGGGCACCACCGGUAACUGUGAAACCAGGUGCCCAGCCAGGUAGCAGUAGGCCUUUGGUUCUAGAAUGUUCUAGGCUACUUUAUGAUGGGCUUGGUCAAAAUAGGGGGCAGGGUCUCUCUCCCCUAUAUAAGGGUACCUGACCAGGGGUACAGAUGGGCUGGGUGGGAAAUGAAGGGAGGUUGGAGGUAGAGGGAUCUGAAAGCCAUGCUACUGCUAUUACCUGUUACAGAAGGACACCCUGGUGAUAUGUUGGGAUGCUUAAAGAAGUACGCAUCCCUGUUGAAUCCUUUUGAGUGUUGUACUCUCAUAAUGAAGCAUUGCUUUGUUGCUCUGAUAGGUGGUGACAUAUCCAGCACUGCCUGGAGUGUGGUGAUGAGUGCCAUGUCACCACAAGACUUGCUUGUCAAGGCCCAGGGUAGUAUUAUGGGCAGUGGCAUGUGGUAUAGGACAUGUUUCCAGCCACCCAAUAGUUCCUUUCUCCAUUGUAAGCACGUGGCAUUUGCAAUUUUGAGUUUGCAGUUCUGCAGCUGACAGAUCAUGGAUGGAUGGGAAUCAGGGAAUCUCAAAUGGUACAACAUUACCACUGGUACAUCUGUGUGGUACUGAUCAGCACCUGCUGUUCUUUUGCUCUUAGCAGUCCCCCAAC